rnacentral:tRNA from 1 species
AAGGCCUUAGUUUAAUUAAAAUGUCUGAUUUGCAUUUAGAUGAUAUGGAGUGACAUCCGUAGGUCUUA